rnacentral:rRNA from 1 species
AUUGAACGCUGGCGGCAGGCUUAACACAUGCAAGUCGAGCGAGCGGCGGACGGGUGAGUAAUGUCUGGGACACUGCCUGAUGGAGGGGGAUAACUACUGGAAACGGUAGCUAAUACCGCAUACCAUCAGAUGUGCCCAGAUGGGAUUAGCUAGUAGGUGGGGUAAUGGCUCACCUAGGCGACGAUCCCUAGCUGGUCUGAGAGGAUGACCAGCCACACUGGAACUGAGACACGGGCCAGACUCCUACGGGAGGCAGCAGUGGGGAAUAUUGCACAAUGGGCGCAAGCCUGAUGCAGCCAGGCCGCGUGUGUGAAGAAGGCCUUCGGGUUGUAAAGUACUUUCAGCGAGGAGGCGUGACUCGCAGAAGAAGCACCGGCUAACUCCGUGCCAGCAGCCGCGGUAAUAC